GAUGAACGCUGGCGGCGUGCCUUAUACAUGCAAGUCGAGUGGGUUUAGACCCACGGCAAGCGGGUGAGUAACGCGUAGGUACUUUCCUUGUCGCAGGAAUAACCCUCCGAAAUGAGGGCUAAUACCUGAUAUGAUCGCAAGAUUAAAGGGUAUCCGCCCGGAUUACCGGUCAAGAAGAGGCCUGCGGCCUAUCAGCUAGUUGGCGCGGUGAAUGACCACGAAGGCUAUGACGGGUAGCUGGGCUUAUGAGGAUGAUCAGUCACAUGGGCACUGAGAGCCGGGCCCAACUCCUACGGGAGGCAGCAGUAGGGAAGUUUGCGGGAUGGGAGAAAGCCUGACGCAGCGACGCCGCGUGCGGGAUGAAGGCCGUCGGGUCGUAAACCGCUUUUAUAAGGGACGAACUUUGACGGUACCUUAUGAAUAAGAGGUUGCUAACUCUGUG
rnacentral:rRNA from 1 species